CGCUUCUCCCGCAGUAUGUCAGCCGCUUCUCCCUCUCGCCCAGCGCGGACGGCCUCCUAGCCGCCGCAGCCGUCUCCUUCUCUUCCUCUUCCUCUCCCCUCCGCCCGCCGCACGCCCCCGAGCUCCCCAAGAUCCGCGCCACUGCGCCGCCUCCUCCUCUCCUCCACUUCUCUCCUCCUCUGCCCCCCGCGCAUGGUCGUCGUCGCUCGUCUCUUCCUCUCCCGCGUCUGUCCCGGCAGCGGCGACGACUUGCAGGCAAAAGGCGACGGUGGCGACGCUCAGUUCGAUGCAGCACCAUGGACCAGUUCUUGUAGGAGAGAGAGGAUGAGAGGGCGAGAGAGAAGGAACGAGAGAAGGGAGAAAGAGAGAGGAAAGAGGAGAUGGAGGUGCGCCGGCUGAUGGGAGAGGGUCACACGCCGGCGUCGGCCUAUGCCGGCGAGGUCGGGCGAGAUCUGGCGGUUGUCGGCGGCUCGAUCCGCUCCUGGAUCGGGAGCUGCGAGGAGGCCCUGUAGGAGAGAGAGGAUGAGAUGGAGAGAGAGAGAAGGAAGGAGAGGAGGGAGAAGGAGAGAGGAAAGAGGUGAUGCAGGUGCGUGGGCUAAUGGGAGAAGGUCUCACGCCGGCGUCGGCCUACGUCUGCGAGGUUGGGCGAGAUCUGGCGGUUGGCGGUGGCUCGAUCCGCUCCUCCAUCGGGAGCUGCGAGGAGGCUGGGGCUCUUGGGCGUGCCAUGCGCUGGAAGGUGGAGGAGGCUGGUUUGGUGGUUGCUCGGGUUUGGAGCAGCAAGGAUAUGGGGCUGCACUUUCUUGGAGCAGCAUGCAAUGGAGCCAAGGAUUAAAUGUAUUUGCUUGCAGUACUUUCAUUCUCUGAAAAGAAUGGCGAAUCCAAGAUUUAGCUCAAAAUUAUUGCAUUUUGUUUCAAAAUAGGAUGAUCUUUCCUUGCUGAAUAGACAACAUAUAGGUUAAGAACGUGUAUGAUGCUGAUUUUGGUGGUUUGGACAUGGAUUUGAGGGUGGAGAAUGGCCACAUGAAAGAGGCAUUCAGGACUGUAAGUAUGAAUUAAAUACAUACUACAUAUCUGAUGAAAUGCAGACACGAGGUGUUCUCGUUAUACUUUCGGUUCCUCAAUCUUUGUUUUCUUUUGAUGUUGCAUCAUUUUUUUAUUGCAAGCAUUGAUAUAUGCGCUCAUGCUAGGCAAUAUAAGGUAUUGUCCCGCCAUUUAUUUAUUGUAGGCAUUGAAAAAUAAAAGAAAUAAGAGAACACAACAUGUGUUUAAACGUACGUUCUUCUCGGUCCUUCUGUGGUUUUAUUUGUCGCCUAGGUUGCUGCUUACUAUGAAAAUUAUGUUAACUCACCUGUUUUAUUUCCUUUCAUCAGCAUCUAUUUUGCUGCUUACAUUUUCUGCCUUUUUUCUGCAACGUCCAGGAUCUCCUAGGUUGGUGGAUCUGCGACGUUCCGGUUCCUGCUGUUGGUCAGCCGUUUCUUUGGUCGAGAGAUUAAAGCAGAUGGGUGCACUUGUUGCCGGCGGUCUCGUCCCACUGGUAGGGUUCCAGCAAGAUGCUCAAGAAUUUUCUCAUGAAAGUGGAUGAAUAACGUCAUGGCCAGGAUCUUCAAAGGACCAAUGUUGCAUAGCCUUUACCCACUCUGCACUGCCGUAACAUUUCAAGUAGCGACUACUCCUGGUACAUCUUGUGUUGAUCACGAGCAACACCAAGAGAGAUGUAUGGACUAUUUGCAUGCAGAUUACCUCCAGGUGAUUGAUUAUGAUGUGUAUGGUCUUUUCCAGCCAUGGCAGAUGGUAUAGUACAUACUGAUGAGAGGAUAGAUCAUUUAUGAUGAUGUACUAUUUUAGAUGGUGAUACUAAAGUGUUAUUCUAAGCAAUUAGGUCUCUUAUGUAGUCUUAUUAUCGUAUUUUUCAAGUUUGAGAGCAUGUUAUAAUAUCUUGGCUAUUUUGACACUGCCAUGCUUCACAUUGCGAUGUGUUUACUAUCGCAGUUUGGAAAUAUUACUGAUAGAUGCUUGGCACACUGGCAAGUAAAAUUGUUUUGAGGCCUGAGCCAUGUAAUGACGAUAUAGCCUUCUUUAUAGAUCCAAUAUACAUGUA